UGCGCACGUAUCGUGGUUAGUAUUAGUUAACUGAAGCCUGACAUACUCGUACAGGCACUGCUGGUGAACUUGCGCCUGCUGUACACAAUAGUGUUUGAACACAACAGAGACCUCAGUACAAAUGUUUCACGGAGCUAUAAAGGCUUUUAACGCUCUCUAUUCAUCACAACUGGGAGUCAAGAGCAGGACUUGUUUAAUACAGGGAGAAUAUUUAAAGGGGCCAGUUACAUUUGCUUGGGGGACAAGUGAAAUUGAAAAUAGGGCAGAAUAUGGGCAUGUAGUAGUGUCUCCUGUCGCUUCUUAACUUGCGUGUCUGAACGGGAGAGCGGCCUCAUACACAGAGCUCUAACACCAGCGAAUUGCUAUUCAGGGGCUACAGCACAGGUUUCUGUGUUGUAAAACAGACCUUUGGUCAUUCUGGCCAUUUUUUUCACUUCUAGGGAAUUCAUGUCAGCGCUGGGGCAGGAACCUGUGCCGUUCCCUGGUGCAGCAGGCACACUCAGACACUUGAUGCAUUCACUGCGGGUAGCCAAUGAGAAUUCAGGGUACUAGUCCCUUAUCUCUGUCCAAUCAGAAGCUGGAGUACGUGUUACGCGCCAGGACUCUACUGUUAGUGACAUGAAAGACUCCUGUCCCGCUGUCAGACUCUAUGGUACAGGUGUAACUAAGGGAGACCGUUCUUAGCUCAGGCUGUAAUCUCAGCGCGUGCCCAAUGCAAUGGCAAAGCAGUGGUUAGUAGUAAGUAACUGCACGUCACGCUGCUGCUUUUGCAUCUCUUACGCCAUGGAGUUGUGAGGAAAACGUGAUGCGGCUGCCUACAUCCAUCUCCAGGAGCCGAGACGAGUAUUUGAGGAACAUGUGGAAAUGUCCCCGAGCCAUCGCGCCAAAUGACAGGAAGUAGCACUUAAUUAUUUCACUAAUUGCACUUGUUGCGCUGAGUUAGUCUGGUAGGGUAUCGGCAAUAGAUGCAGACACUGGCAGUGACCUCACUACUUCCCCAGGGGACUCUGUGAAAAGUUAGUACCGGGCUCCCCUCACACCCCCGGGCCAGCUAACCCCGCCCCCGUAUCAUCACCACUUCUUCCUCCGUCUCUCCCGUCCCUUUUAUACUUCAAAUUUGGGUCGUGUUAUCUGAGGCCAGCGACCUGUAUUGCUGCCCUGUCAGUGUCUGCUCACCGCCGCUGAGAAAUGUCUGUGAAUGAUCAAUGUCAAUUGAUCAAUGACCAAUGUCUGGCAUGACAACCAUCGGUGGAUAUUUUUUUAACCCCCUGAAAGAUUCAUGUCGAAUAUUCCCUUAAAGUUAUACCAGGAUUAUAAAGAAACAGGCUGGCUGUCAGGGAGUGCAGACGGGAGUUGUGAAGGGGUCAAAGAUCGUGGGGCCAAAUUGUCAUUAUUGCUGAACAAUAUCUGAAGUGUUUAAUAAUGUAUGUGCAAAUGUAUCAUUAUCAUUAUUAGUCAAUAUAGUUUGUGCUGCAGGAAGGGGGGAAGCCUGAGGUAUCCAAGUAUUUAAACGCUAGAGAAACACACACAGACAUGAUCACAUGUUCCAUGGUCACAUGACCCAGAUAACUGCCGUUUCUCUGUCAGUUAGGAGAGCCGAUCAGCCGAAGAACAGGUGAUUUCCUCAGCAGUUUUGGUCCUGACACGUCAAAAAUUGGAAAAAGGAGAUGAAAGAGAGAAGAUGACAAAGUGCGGACCGUGCGAAGAAGGCGGAAUAAGAUCACUCCGUGGUGCUCACUGGUAUAACCCUGGCCCAGUGCAGUUUUCUGCUGAUAUGAGCACCUGUCUGGGGGUUUCAGAGAAUGUGUGCCCCCUCACCACACCCUGCCCCCAUAAUGGAAAGGAGAGAAACCCCAUGUGCCCGAAUCCAUCACUUCACAAUGGAACAAGAUGAGGAAGGUUUCAAUGUCAUCCUAAAGAGGUGGGGGGAAAGUCUAUAUGAGCAUCAUGGUCACUGGAAAAGAAAAUGCAGAUGCUGCCUGAUCCCCAGACAUGUAGGCUGCUUUCACUUCUGGAUUGGCAGCUGAAGAGUCUCGAAGCACCGCACUCUUCCUCUUGUCUAUGUUCAUUGAUGCCUGAGCCUGUGCAGUGCUGCUGUUG